rnacentral:rRNA from 1 species
UACGGAGGAUGCAAGCGUUAUCCGGAAUGAUUGGGCGUAAAGCGCGCGCAGGCGGUCCUUUAAGUCUGAUGUGAAAUCUUGCGGCUCAACCGCAAGCGGUCAUUGGAAACUGGGGGACUUGAGUGCAGAAGAGGAAAGCGGAAUUCCACGUGUAGCGGUGAAAUGCGUAGAGAUGUGGAGGAACACCAGUGGCGAAGGCGGCUUUCUGGUCUGUAACUGACGCUGAGGCGCGAAAGCGUGGGGAGCAAACAGG